rnacentral:rRNA from 1 species
GGGAUGCAACGUUACUCGGAAUUACUGGGCGUAAAGCGUCUGCAGGCGUCCUAAAAAGUCUGGUGUAAAAUUUCGGAGCUCAACUCCGGAAGCGUGCCGGAAACUCUUAGGAUCGAGUCACUCAGAGGCCCCGGAAUGUCGUGUGUAGGGGUAAAAUCCGUUGAUCCACGAUGGAACGCCAAAAGCGAAGGCAGGGUGCUGGGGGUGUACUGACGCUCAGAGACGAAAGCGUGGGGAGCAAAGGGGAUUAGAUACCCCCGUAGUCCACGCCCUAAACGAUGCGUGCUCGGUGUAGGAGUUUUCAAUUGCUCCUGUGCCCAAGCUAACGCGGUAAGCACGCCGCCUGGGAAGUACGGCCGCAAGGCUAAAACCCAAAGGAAUAGACGGGGACCCACACAAGCGGUGGAACAUGGGGUUUUAAUUCGAUGAUAAACGAAAGAACCUCACCCCAGACUUUGACAUCCCGAGAAUCUCGUUCGAAAGACGGGAAUUGCCCGCCAAGGAACUCC